CCAGAAGCAGUUUUCAUUCAAAUAUUUCUCCACUUAUUUUUAACCCCCGGGAGCCCUCUAGUGUCCUGUUUAGAAACAGACUCUUGGAAUUCAAAGGCAUUUGAGAGGGUUUGCUUAGCAGCAGUAGAAUAAAGGCCUCCUGAGAUGAAUGCCAUCACCCCAGAGGCCUGGGAUUAGAGCAUCGGAGUUCCCAGGGACUCACCUUUUCAUCCUGGCUGUGGCCAGAGUCACAUUGAUCUCCCACCUCUUCUGAGAAGUGGCCUAGAAAUUCAUAAAAAGUUUUAAAACCCAACGACACCCAGAGUCAUGGUGGAGGAACAGAAAAAGUAGGAAAUCUUUAGUGAAGAAGGCAUCAUUUUGCAGUUCCCUGGGGGAUGAAAACAACCUUGAUUGAGGUCAUCACCAGCUCAAAGAUUCUUUCCCUUGUAGGUUAUUACUCAGUGUUCAGUAGAGUUCCCUGUGCUAUUCAACAGGUCUGAUAUUAAAAGUUCAGAAAUAAAUGAGGAACCAUCCAAGCAGAUUGAGGAAGCCUUCAGAUUAUGCGAGGAAAACCAGGAAGAGGGAUGUUCUGAAGACAUGUCAAUGAAAAACAUCAAAGAAAAGAUCACUGUGACAGUCCCGCUGAAGGGUCACAGAAGAAGUGACUAAGGAUUAGUCAUCGAUUUAGCAAUGUGGCUGACAUCGGUGAUGUUGACAGUUUCCAUGAAGCGAUGGCGCUCAAGGCAAAAGUCACAUUUAAGCUGGGAAUGCCAGCACAGGAAUCAGAGAUUAAGUGGGACACUGUCCUGGAAACAGAGGAUCCUAAGACACAAUCCCUUAAGGCUCUGGUUCCUCCAGAUCCCUAACCUGGACCACACUGUAGACUUUAAAUAUGUCCUAAGACACAAUCCCUUAAGGCUCUGAUUCCUCCGGGUCCCUAAUGCCUCAUAAGCCGCACCUUCCCCCCAACCCCUGCAUUGGAAGAACAGGGGCUGGGAGGCUAUUUGAUAAACUAAGCACUGUUUGCGCUGUUUUCUUAUGUUAUUAAGAGAAUCUGAGCACUGAAUAAAGCUUUUAACUUAAAA
ensembl:lncRNA